CGGGCAGCACUACCUAUGUCCAUUAUUUGAGGGUGCCCUGACACACACUUUUUCUUUGCUCUGCAUCUUCAUCUUCCUCUUCCUCUUCCUCUAACUUGGUGACUUCACCAAGGGUUUCGCCGGAGUUUAUUCAGGGUUUGAAGCUAAUCGCUAUUGCAACCAGGAUUUGCUCGUGAUCGGUAUACACUUUAGGUUUGUGACCUCUCUGAUAUAAUUUUAGAGGCCUUUAAUGCUUAAGGGAGUUCAGUAAUUUCGUCUAGGCUUUAAUUCUGAAGUAGAUGUCUUGGAUCCUAACUUCGAGCUUCAAUCCAGGGUUUUAUUGUUGAGAUUUACUGUUAUAGCAAUAUAUUCUUGCAAGAAAUGGAAGCAUCCAGAUUUGCCGUUGCUGUCACAUACGUGGUAAUGCUUACCUUUGUUUACUUUGGGGUUGCGAUUGCAGCGGACGCUUCGGCGCCGACUCCUAUGCCUGAGAAAGGCGCGGCCUCCAUGGCCGUUGCUUCAUCCUUUCUCACUGCUGUCAUUGCAUUCUUCGCUUUCAUUCUCUUCUGAGGGAAUCAAUUUCAUUACAUGAGAUUUAAAUUGUAGGAGAGAUUUCUCUAGAUGGAUUGUUUAGACUCUUUCUUAGUGUUUAGGGCAAGGGCGAGUUAGUUCAAUUUGUUUGUUCAUGUCAUUUACUGAUAUUUUUUGUAUAUAAUUUUGGCUACUGAUGAUUGGCUUCUGUUUCAUUUUGCAUUUGAGGAGGGUUUGUUAUAGAUUUUGUAAUAGGUAGACCCCAAUUAUUUGAUCUGUUCAUAGUGAUUCGAUUUCAAUAGACAGUAUCAUAUACAUUAUAUACAUUCUCCAGGAUUUAAUUGUGCUUUC